GGGGUUGGGGAUUUAGCUCAGUGGUAGAGCGCUUGCCUAGCAAGCGCAAGGCCCUGGGUUCGGUCCCCAGCUCCGA
rnacentral:tRNA from 1 species